UACGUAGGGUGCAAGCGUUGUCCGGAAUUAUUGGGCGUAAGGAGCUCGUAGGCGGUUUGUUGCGUCGGCUGUGAAAUCCCGAGGCUCAACCUCGGGUCUGCAGUCGAUACGAGCAAACUAGAGUGUUGCAGGGGAGACUGGAAUUCCUGGUGUAGCGGUGAAAUGCGCAGAUAUCAGGAGGAACACCCGGUGGGCGAAGGCGGGGUCUCUGGGCAACAACUGACGCUGGAGGAGCGAAAGCGUGGGGAGCGAACAGG
rnacentral:rRNA from 1 species